rnacentral:lncRNA from 1 species
CUAACUGCGACUUGAAAAGUCUUAGGAAAACAGCUCUCAACCUUGUCAUCCAUCUGGAACUUCUCAACAAAUCUAAGACAGGAGCUGGGGAAAAUGCUUACUUGGUAAACUGCAAGCAGGAAGACCCAAGCUCUCAGAUUUUGGCUUAUGUUGCGGCAUUGUGAAGAGUGAUGAGGAAAACAUGGACCGUGGAAAGAAUUCAGAGAAUGAGAUGUGCUUUGGGACAGAACUGAAUUCCCAGACCCAAGAGUGAAAAAGGAAAAAGCCCACUGAUGGAAACAGUGUUUUUGAGUGAGAGGAGAGCCUUUGCUGAUGAUGCCGGAGGAUGUCCCCACGGAGAUGUUGGAAGAAACUCUGUUUGAGGCGACUCACCUGUACCUGUUCAAGUUUGAGGUAGGAAGUCGUAUGUCAUCUGCGUUGUGCACAUUUCUGGAUCAGCACUACAGUGCCAGGCGCUCAGAUCCCAGUGCAUGGAUGGUCAAAUUAGCUUUCACUGAGCUUUCAUUAGCUGAAAAGAAAACUAGUCCGUCUAGCUGUCAUGGCAUUUGUGGUGAUGAAUCAAGAGGAUCACAAAGAUGCCCACAGGGGUGUACUUUUCAAGAAAUAGAGGUCAACAGGAGUUUCUCCUGAGAUCUCUGUCAAUUCAUCUCUGUUCUUCUGAUUGCUGGGAUUGUAGAUUCCCCUCAUCCGUUCUUGGACUUCACAGAAA